UACAGAGGGGGCAAGCGUUGUUCGGAAUUACUGGGCGUAAAGGGCGCGUAGGCGGCCCACUAAGUCGAACGUGAAAUCCCCGAGCUCAACUCGGGAACUGCGUCCGAUACUGGUGGGCUUGAAUCCGGGAGAGGGAUGCGGAAUUCCAGGUGUAGCGGUGAAAUGCGUAGAUAUCUGGAGGAACACCGGUGGCGAAGGCGGCCUGCUGGGCAGUUUGGCUGACACUGAGGCGCGACAGCGUGGGGAGCAAACAGG
rnacentral:rRNA from 1 species